UUACGAUCACAUAAGGUUGAACUCACCGGUCUCCGUCUGAUCACCGAAGUUAAGCAACGUCGAACAUGAUCAAUACUUAGAUCAGCGACCGCUUGGGAAUAUCAGGUGCUGGA